rnacentral:rRNA from 1 species
UACGUAGGGGGCAAGCGUUGUCCGGAUUUAUUGGGCGUAAAGAGCGUGUAGGCGGCCAGACAAGUCUGAUGUGAAAACUCGAGGCUCAACCUCGAGCUGUCGGUGGAAACUGUCUGGCUAGAGUCCGGAAGAGGAGAGUGGAAUUCCUGGUGUAGCGGUGAAAUGCGCAGAUAUCAGGAAGAACACCUAUGGCGAAGGCAGCUCUCUGGGACGGUACUGACGCUGAGACGCGAAAGCGUGGGGAGCAAACAGG